AAGGCAAGAGAGCUGCGUGCUGUGCUCUAAAAGACAGCAGCAAAAGUGCUGAAGUUUAGCUACUUCCUUAGUGGUGUUCAUACUCCACAUCAAAGAGAGUACUCUGUCUAGGCAGACCCCAGAUGUUCUGAAUGAAGGGGAAAAUAGAGAAUCCUCUUAAAAUUCUAUGGUGCUGUCCCUUGAGACUGCAAUAGAUGUACUCUGACCAUGAGUGCCCCAGCCGCUCAGUGUGACAGUGGGAACAGAAAUAUCCAGACGUGCAGGUAUGACGCUGUCUUUUUCUACCGUGUCACCUGCGUUUGGACCGUGAGCCUCAGGUGCUCUGACAUUCUAAUUUCCAGUCACAGGUAUGAUGCCAGCCCCUCAGACAGCAGUAGAUGUAUGUGCUCUGGCCAGGUGGAUGCUCGGUGUCUGCUGGAGGGUGGGAACAGAAGGGUCUCGUGGCACGCAUGCAUUUCUUCUCAGUGGUGCAGCCUUCUCCAAUAUAACAGGGUUCCGUGAUUAGAUGGGUUCCAGGUGCUCAGACAGGAUGCAGGAAGAGCAGUCCAAACACAGUUAUGGGGUUGGGGUUGGCCCCUCCCAUUGCAAAACACCUACUCCUUCAGGUAGGACCCAGGAGCCCUGACUGCAGAUAGGAACGUAAAGGCCCCCAGGCGGAGCUAUGGAGUCCAACUGACUGCAAUAGACGUACCCUGGUUGGAGGGGUCCCAGGUGAUCUGAACACAAAUGUCUUAUGGCACAAGUACCUCCUCAGUGAUGCUCUCUCUCCUCCAGUAGUAGUAGGCAUGUCAUGGCUGGGCUGGCUCUAGGUGCCCUCAUUAUAGGUAGGAAGGAAAGCGUUUCCAAGGACAGAUUUGCCGUCUACAGUGCUGGCCUCUCCGAUUGCAACAGGGAUGCAAUAGGCUGGCAGUGUCCCCCAACACGAGCUAUGGCGCUGGGUGUCCCACAGGGUCUUGCUCCAAAGCUGAGUGUUCCAGGCAAGGAGCUGCAGCCUGGGACAUACACACUGACCGCAAAGCUGCCACGAUCUCAAAGGGCGCACAAGCCCCGUAACCCCAAGUGGGUCUGAAGUGCUAUGGCAGAAGGUGAGCUGCAGUUCUCGGUGCUGUGCGUGUCGGUGGCAGCUCCAGAGCAGGACAGAGUGGCCGUGCCAGUGGGGAAAACAACUGAAGUGUCACCAAAAGCUGGCUGGGUGUUGACAGAGAUGUAAAAUUUGGAAUAUGGGAGCGUCGGACUCCCCAGAGCUGACUGCCGUUGGGUUCCAGGGUCGCAGUUCGGGCUAAGGAAGGAGGUCCUGCUGGGGCUGCCAGGAUUCCCAAAGGGAAAGAGCUGUUAAAGCUGUCAAGAAGAGGCCAGAAUCAACAGGCUGGGAAUUGAGGAUGUUACCUAUAUUGACUUCAUCAUAGUCCAAGGCAGGCUUGGAGGGUGAGUCUGAAGAGUCCUGGAGUGAGGCUACUGCAGAGGCAGUGGUGGGUGGGCCAGAAAAGAUAGGGGCGUUGAAGAGAGUAGCUUCCUAUUGCUGCCCAUAUAGGCUCCCAAAUUGCAGCUAAAGGGUGACCCCUGCCCCAAAAGGAAGGGGGAAGUUUCCGGUAGGGCCGCUGGCCAUCUAAGCAGGUGGGCUGGUGGCAGCUGUGGCCUUUGCAGGGGUUAUCUGCUCCACGCUGAGAGCGGCCUGGUCACGUGGGAGGGAGCUCACGCUGGAUCCUGGUGGAGACCUGGGGAUGAAAGCCUGGCAAGGCAGAGUGCUGUCUGUGGCCAUCAUACCAAAGUCCAAAGCACCCUCUGAGGUCCAGUCCGCAGAUGGGCUGACUGGGCCACUGAGGGUGACUGCAGAAGCAGUGAUGAACUGGCUGGCAAAGACAGGGGACACUAGUGAGAGAGACUUGAAGAGGAGUCUGUAAGAAAAAGGGAAGAGAAUCCACACACAUAGAUGUAGGUGACUCGGCUCUCCAGAGGGCAGGCCUGAAGGAGAAGGUGCUAGGAGGUGGUAAGCGAAGUAGAAGAUCCUGCAACUGUGACUGCGGAACUGGAACGCAAAGGGCCUCUAUUCUCAUUAUUAAGCAGAACCCCAAAGAUGGGCCAGAAUCUAUAAAGAGCGAUGGUAGGAAUAGCAAAAGGACGGUUAGACACUCUGUGUCUCGUUUCGUGAUGGAGAUCUGGUGUGGGGGUAGGUAAAGGGGCAGGUAGGAUUGGGGCCAAACAGCCAAGUAGGGCAGGUCAGUGACUGCUAAUUUGGUAGUUUCUGGAAUCUGCAAGGGGAACGUGGCCAAUGGCGAAGUAAGUGCAUUCCCUGUGAGAGCGGGCGCGCUGAGGGGAACCGCUGUCUGAGGUCGUCUGAGUUGUGUCCUCCAACCCUGCGGCUGCAUCUUCCUUGCGGUGCUGUGUUUUCUCCAGGCUGAUGUCUUCAGCAAUGACCGUGCAAGGAAGGUGGGGGGCGGAAGCCUCUCACUUCGACCCCACGGCGGUGGCAGUAGCAGCAGCAGUGGCAAAACUCGUGGCGUUGGAAUUUUGUUUCUAGGACCUGCAACCAACAGGCGUGGCUGGGGAAUUUCUCCUUGACAGACUCCCUAAAAGCCUUUCUCUCUUGAGUCUUUUUCUUUGACUUCAUAAGGUUAGAGAGCUGAGUCCGUGGCCUUCAUCAAGCUCUUCCUUCCUCACCCUCUCUGGUAGCAGGGGCAGGAAAUGGCGGGGCUAGACACACCUGCUGCCCCUCUGCCUCACUCCUGCAGACAAGCGGGAGGCCUCCAACAGGGCUGUACCGCCUUUGGGUAAGGAGUUCAUGGAAGGCGUCUGUGGUGUCUUGCCCAAGCCACCUUCUUGGAAUAGAAGUUUCCCUUCUGAGGCUCAGGAUGCUCCCAAACGUGCGACAACUUCUGUCGCCAGAGACCUAGAUCUUGAUGGUAUGUGCUCACCCCUAAGGGGGCCCCUUUCUGGAAGUCCUGACUUUCGCACGCUUUUCUAUGGUCUUCUUUUGAUAUCCCCUUCCUUCACGCCCCUGGUGACUUCAUCUCAGUUUUUUUUUUCUUGAAGUGAAAAAAAUUUUAAUUUCUUUCUUCUGAGAGAAGGGAGCAUGUGGGAACAGCAGAGAGAGCAAGACAGAGAGAAUCCCCAGCAGGCUCUGAACUGGCAGUGGGGAGCCCGAUGUGGGGCUCAAACUCACAAACUGUGAGAUCAUGACCUGAGAUGAAAUCAAGAGUCGGAUGUUCAACCGACUGAGCCACCGAGGCGCCCCUUUAGCUCAGUCUCCUUUAAACAAGGCUCUGGAGGGUGACUGGAUGGCCCUGGCCUCACAGAGGUGAUUACCUGAUUAGAUGACAAAGGAGGAAGAGAGUCAGUGUGUGUCCAGGAGGAGGGAUCUUUAGCAUUCCCGAGUGGACAGACACUAUGAGGCACACGCAGAGAGCAGCGGCUCCUUCGGAGAGUCCCCCCGGGGCCACCAGAGAGGAGCACUGAGGCUGCCUGAUCCGAUACCACCCAUUUGGCAAAGGCCCGGAUCCAGGCAGAAAUGCCUGGGGAAAGGGCCAAGGAGAGGUGCAGGGUGAUCUCAGCCGGAUGAGAAGCACAUGUGUGGGAGGGUGGGGGGACAGGGCAAGAGAGAAGCUUGCUGGGGCAGUUGCCCAUGAAGGAUGAUUUGUGUGCUGUUGGGAGUGUGGUAUGAAAUGUGGAGGGCUCUCCUGGCUCCGCGCUCCUCCAUGGCAAAACGUGCACCGUUCGGCCUGAGGCUUGUGGCACAGCACUGGAACCUGGGGCAGAAAAGCACACCAGCUAAGCCCACACCCGCAAAGGGCAUGAGGAAAAGUUGCCAAACGCAAAGGGCAGGGCCCAGAGACCGAAUCCCGGCAGGACUUUCUAGCAUUUCCUGACCUCCCACUGCUGGGUGCAGGUUCCAGACGGGCCUGGCAGUGUGGCGAGACUGUUAAAGACUCUAAAUUCCAAGAGCCCACAGGACUGCCACCUCGGUGCCUAACUGGAGGGCAGAGGCAGAGGCAACCUGUGGUUGGGAGUCAGCCAGCCCAUUUCCCUACGGUCACCAGAGGACAGAGCCUGCUCAGGGCCACAGCAGGAGAGCAUCCUAGAUCUUGCCGAGAAGGCUGUGACGUGCCUGAAAGAAAAUGCAUAUGUUAGAUAGAUGAGCUUCAUCCAGUCAUGAGUCAUACUGCUACUAACUCUGAGUUCAGUGUUAAUGAAUCAACAGUCUAGCACAUCCAAAAGGAGGAAGAAACUCACUGGUCUGUAGAUGAAGCCACUCAAGAAAGUGUUAAUAGUAACUUGUAUAGUGUGUGGUGAAGCAAUGAGAUGUGAAAGCAGCUGAAGUUGUGGAUUUGUGAGAUGAAGAAAAAAAAAAAAAAGGAUAGGAGAGCAUUUAUUGUGAGCUGAAAGCCAAAACUGAGAGUCAUGUUACCCAGAUGGGGAAAAGGUUAACACCCCUGAUCUGCCAGUGCUAGUUGGCUUGCACAUUUCAAGAGGCAAUACAUUAUAAACAGUGUUAAGGCAGGUCCUGCAGAUCAGGAAAUGUUACAGGAAAAGCAUUAGGUGGAAGAGUAGGUUUCAAUGCCAACGAGACUGGCUUGUUUUACUAGGCUUUUGGCAAAGGAACGUAUAUAAUGCAAAUGGCCUCCAAAUCACCAGUCUUCAAAUUAUUCAAGUAUCGGGCAAUCUUGCAGUUGUGUGUCAAUACCAACAGCAACCAACUUUAAGUGCGAGCCCAUAAAGGUGUAGAGAACUUCAAAUCCACCAGAACUCAAAAGGAAACUCUGGUUCAGGAGUUCGGCAUAUGCCAUACACCAGUCCGCUGCAGGUGGAACAAAAAAAAUUUGAGAGAUGUCAGAAGCAUUCUGGGAUGCUUCCACAACUGCUCAUCCAAGAAGCUAUAUUUACUGCUAUCUCCAGGGCAAAUACUUUGCCUCCAGGGUUGUGUUAAUUUUGGAGAAUGCCCAUUGGCCCAUUGUUACGAACUCGCAAAUGCCCACCCCAACCUAGAUGUUCUUUUCAUGCCCCUAAACACUGUCAUCCAACCUCUCAAUCAGGACAUGACAUAAAAGCUUUCAUGGUACGUACGCCACAUGAGGGAGCUUUAUACCUAAAGCUUACAACACCAACAAAGAAACAUGGUGGUUACCAUGAUGGACUAUUGCAGUCAGUCACUAUGCGAACUGUCACUGGUUACUGUCUUGGCACAGUCAAGCAGACUACUUUCAGGAACUUGGGAAAAUGGCAAAACUGCCUGGAAAUUUUCCAAGGCUUUGAAGGUGUUACAUACAACGUAAAGAACCGUGUCAAGUACAUAAUGCAUAUCACAUGACAAGUGGAAAAACUCCCAAUGACGUGAGGGAAGAUGUGGAAGAAAUACUGACAGAGAAGGUGGUAGAACCCACAAAUAAAGACCCAGAAGAGACAGCCAAACAAGGCACUGAAGUCAGUGAUGAUGAGGAUGGUUACGAAAAUCACUCUACUACUGAAUGAGUCGCUUUUCUCGCAGCAGCCACGUAUCAGAAAUUCUACUUUGGAAAAACGUUCCAGGACCUAAAAGAAUGUGACCCAACGGUUGAAUGAAGCCUCAUGCAAUUUAUCAAGCCACUUCACAAAAGGAAACUGCUGACGUCAACAAACGACAAGAGUCAAAUUCCUGAGGUAGAACUGACACCCCACACUCAGUCUUCCUCUUCUGCAGAAUAAAUAGCAUCAACUAUGCCAAGGUCAAGAGGUUCCUUCAGAGUGCACUGCUCUAUCACCACAUAUCCAACAACUCUAUCAAAAUUAGUUAAUGUCAAUCUUUGAUUAAUUUUAACCUUUUUUCUGGACUUUCUUCGCAUGACUGUACAGUAUAACACAGUGUAGGUGUUCACAUUACUGUUUACUGUGUUUAUUGUGUGUGAAUACUAAAUUAUGUAUACUUUCUGUGUGUAUCACUGAGUUAAAGCAGUAUAGUAACAGAAUAAGUUACACAAAAUGAUGUAAUUGAAAUAUUUUUAUUAUAAGGAAAUAACUGCAUAUAAUUUAUUUCUAGGGAACAUGUAUUAAAUAAAUGUCUUUU